AGAAAACUGAGGUCAGAAAGUUCAUUGGGAACCAGAAGGGAGUGCCUGCCCUUCACUGAGUGUGUGUGGGAGGCUGGCACCUUGGGAAAAUUUCAGCAGGAAUCCAGACUGGCCAGCUGUGACACCACACAUUGUUCCCUGUGACAAGUCUCACUGGAAGCAAGGGGGAGAGAGAUAAAUAUAUAGGUGAUCAAACUUGGGAAAAUUAUAGUGUCACGGAGCUAACUUUAGGCAUCGCCCUGAAAACAAUGGAUUGUCUCAUACCGUUGUGUCUCCUUGUGUCCUGGAAGGGUUGAGAACCAAAACCAAAGUAUAAAAGAUGAACACAGAAUCCAGCUUAAGCCGGGCAGGCUGUCAUUUCAGCAGGCUGCUUUGCAAGAAUAUGAGCGAUUCCUGCUAGCAUUUCACAACCUCAAUGCACCCUAGAGGCAGAUCUUCGCAAGCUGGCAGUAAACUGACUCAAGUGUCACACUGCAGCGUAGCUGGACCAAGCAGAUUCAGUGCCAUCACUAACAAGUGCUGAAUUUUACU
rnacentral:lncRNA from 1 species